UUGGGUGAUCCCUUGCUCUCACGUUCGAGUGUUUGCUCGUCGUUUAGGCCGGUGAGUUACAUUUUUGCUCAUUGCAGUCACCUCCGGGGUUCUUCGCACCUGGUACCAGGACCCUUGUGCCCCGGACUGCACUGCCCGCCCUAUGACCCAAAACUCAAAAUGAGCCUUGCGACGAGACACGGACAUCCCUCAUGCUGCGGUUGCCUCCGGUCCGUUCCCGUGUUGGGUUAG
rnacentral:rRNA from 1 species